rnacentral:rRNA from 1 species
GGGUGUCGAAGCUAACGCGUUAAGCAGGCCGCCUGGGGAGUACGGUCGCAAGGUUAAAACUCAAAGGAAUUGGCGGGGACCCGCACAAGCGGUGGAGCAUGCUCUUUAAUUGGCUGAUAACCCAAGAACCUUACCCAGGUUUGACAUGUAAGCAGUAGCGAAGUGAAAGCGGAGCAACCGGUAUCCAGUCCGGAACUUACACAGGUGUUGCAUGGCUGUCGUCAGCUCGUACCGUGAGGCGUACCCUUAAGUGGGUUAACGAGCGCAACCCCUACCGUUAGUUGUAUCACUCUAGCGGAACUGCCGCCGCAAGGCGGAGGAAGGUGGGGACGAGGUCAAGUCGGUAUUGCCUUUAUACCUGGGGCUAGAAGCAUGCUACAAUGGCGCGUACAGCGAGGAGCAAUGCAGAGAUGCAAAGCAAAUCUCUUAAAGCGCGUCCCAGUUCGGAUUGAGGGCUGCAAUUCGCCCUCAUGAAGUCGGAAUCGCUAGUAAUCGCAGGUCAGCAAAACUGCGGUGAAUACGUUCUCGGGUCUUGCACACACUGCCCGUCACGCCAGCAAAGCUGAGGCCACCCGAAGUCUCAUAUUGUAUGGGCCCAAGGUGGAACCAGUGAUGAGGGUGAAGUCGUAACAAGGUAGCC